UAGGAGGUGGCAGAACUAGGUGAAGUACUAGCUCACCCCUCCAAGCUUGGUCUAAGCCAUCUUGGACCCUUCACCUAGUAAUGAGUCUACUAGAGAGUCAAACCCACCUACUAGUUCUGAUCCAUCACCAUUCACCUCCAACCUUGGGAGUUGGGACCUAUUCGAGACCAUCAGUCUGUCGUGAUGAAACCUAGUAAUGAGUCUACUAGAGAGUCAAACCCACCUACUAGUUCUGAUCCAUCACCAUUCACCUCCAACCUUGGGAGUUGGGACCUAUUCGAGACCAUCAGUCUGUCGUGAGGAAUCAUCACGAAAAAACAUUUCCAUUGCAAGAACUGGAUAUUUAGUGCACUGUUUGAUUAUUUGGUUGAUCUUUAUUACUCGAUAAAAAGUGACACAGAACUGUAGAAUGCUAUGGAGAUUGAGUAUGGCCUAGAUGUUAUAGGCAUAGAUAGAUAUAGUGUUCAUUGUUUCAAUGGUUAUGUAAUUAUAGAUGGUAAACCUGUUAGUGAACAAAUUCAUGAGUAUCAAGAACUUCUUAACCGAGUUGGUGGACAGUGUUUGCUGAGGAAUAGCGGGUAUCAGACCUCAUGGAUAGACUCUUAGUUUCAUGGUCUGAUUAUGCUAAUGAACUUACACAUAGACAGGGAGUCUUAGGUCCUAACCCUUACUGAAGCCUUUAAUUAACUUAGGAUUGAAGAGCAGUGUAGGCUUAAAUCCAAACUUAAAAAUGAUUUAAAGGAUAAGAUUGACCUGGUGGAGAACCAAGGAUCUAGGGAUCACAAUGGUUCAAACUUCCAAGCUUAAAAGCUUUAUAGGCCUAGUACUAUAGGAAGAACAUAAACCAAAACCAAAAGCUUAAGAGGAAUGAGUAGCCUGACCAUAGGAAAUCUAGGAUUGAGGCGGACCAACAUCUUUCAAAUCUGCUGUAUUAUUAAAAAAAAGGUCUGCAAGAUCCUCAUUGAUAGAGGUAGUUGCAAAAAUAUUAUCUCUCAAAAGGCCAUUACGAAGUUGAACCUGACCACGAAAAAGCAUCCUCAGGCUUACAAGUUAUCAUGGUUCUAAAAAGGGAGCGAGGUGGUUGUCGAUAAUCACUAUCUUGUGUCUUUUUCAAUCGGGCCGAAAUACUUCGAUAAGAUUUGGUGUGACGUCAUUGCCAUAGAUGCUUAUCAUCUGCUUUGGGGGGCC
rnacentral:lncRNA from 1 species